rnacentral:rRNA from 1 species
AGAGUUUGAUCAUGGCUCAGAACGAACGCUGGCGGCAGGCUUAACACAUGCAAGUCGAGCGGGCGUAGCAAUACGUCAGCGGCAGACGGGUGAGUAACGCGUGGGAACAUACCUUUUGGUUCGGAACAACACAGGGAAACUUGUGCUAAUACCGGAUAAGCCCUUACGGGGAAAGAUUUAUCGCCGAAAGAUUGGCCCGCGUCUGAUUAGCUAGUUGGUGAGGUAAUGGCUCACCAAGGCGCCGAUCAGUAGCUGGUCUGAGAGGAUGAUCAGCCACAUUGGGACUGAGACACGGCCCAAACUCCUACGGGAGGCAGCAGUGGGGAAUAUUGGACAAUGGGCGCAAGCCUGAUCCAGCCAUGCCGCGUGAGUGAUGAAGGCCCUAGGGUUGUAAAGCUCUUUUGUGCGGGAAGAUAAUGACGGUACCGCAAGAAUAGCC